rnacentral:rRNA from 1 species
GCAUCGAUGAAGAACGCAGCGAACUGCGAUACGUAAUGCGAAUUGCAGAAUUCAGUGAGUCAUCGAAAUUUUGAACGCAUAUUGCACUUCCGGGUUAUGCCUGGAAGUAUGUCUGUAUCAGUGUCCGUAAAUCAAACUUGCCUUUCUUCCUUCCGUGUAGUCGGUGGAGGAGAGUUGCAGAUGUGAAGUGUCUCGCUGUGGUUGGUAUAUUUGUUUAUGCACAACUUGCGAGUCCUUUUAAAUGGACACGACUUUCUCUUUUNNGGAUUCUGCGCGGGNGCUUGUGCGUGAACGCGNNNGGNNUUUCGGAUACGCUCGCGGCUGUCGGCGAACUCCGGUGAAUGCAUUAUGGAGUGGACCUCGAUUCGCGGUAUGUUGGGCUUCGGCUGGACAAUGUUGCUUAUUGGGUGUUUGUUCCGCGNUCGCCUUGAGGUGUACUGGUGNCUGUGGGAUUGAACUGGUUACUGUUGUUAGUAGUGUGCGGCUCGUUGUCGUGGAUGCAUCUGUGUUUUUGCACUUGUGCAAUUGACAGAAGAGGAGUCUCAAUUUGGGAAAUUAGUGUACUCCGGGUUUGAUCCUGCGUGUAUAUCUCAAUUGGACCUGAUAUCAGACAAGACUACCCGCUGAACUUAAGCAUAUCAAUAAGCGGAGGA